GUCCGGGAGGUGGCGCAGUGAUAAAGCAUUGGAUUCUCAACCAUGAGGUCCUGAGUUCGAUCCCCAGCAGCACAUGUACCAGAGCGAUGGCUGGUUCUUUCUCUCCUAUCUCUCUCAUGAAUAAAUAAAUAAAUUCUUAAAAAAAAAAAAGACAGGGAGUCGGGCUGUAGCACAGCGGGUUAAGCGCAGGUGGCGCAAAGCACAAGGACCGGCAUAAGGAUCCCGGUUCGAACCCUGGCUCCCCACCUGCAGGGGAGUCGCUUCACAGGCGGUGAAGCAGGUCUGCAGGUGUCUAUCUUUCUGUCUUCCCCUCCUCUCUCCAUUUCUCUCUGUCCUAUCCAACAAUGACAACAACAAUAAUAACUACAACAAUAAAACAACAAGGGCAACAAAAGGGAAUAAAUAAAUAAAAUAAAUAUUUAAAAAAAAAG